ensembl:lncRNA
CUCGGCUGCUCUGCACAUCGACCGGCGUCAACGACGCCCUUUGGAGCACACAGGAAAGAGAUGGAGGACUCUCAAUGAAGAUGUCACUGCAAUUACACAAGCGCAUUUCACAGACACCCUCUGUGUCUGCUCUUCCUUCUCUCACAACCCCCUUCCCCACUUUUUAAAAAUUUCUUUUCGACAGUCUUUUGAAGUGCAGCCUCAUCUCUUGCAGCUCUUUCAUAAUGCAUGCCCAUUUGGAAUUUGCAUGAAUUCACUUUCCAGAUGCUUCUGCUGCCAUCUUGACUUACGAUGAUGUGUACUGUACAGUAUUGGCUAUUGUAUUAUCAUAGGAUGAAAAGAAUAAUAAUUGGCUUGUUGUUAUGAGUUUGGGUUAUUUUGCAUUGCUCCUCUCACCACUAGGACAUAUUGGCGUGAGAUCAAAAUGUGUUGUAAAUUAUUCAGCUUCAGCUACCCCUACACUGAUGUCGGAGUGAAGGAAGAGCUUUCUGAUGUGGAUGAUACUGCAUCAGGAACUGAUUGGCUAAUGCUCAAUUGCCAACAGUACCUGAUGCAUUGCCUUCAGCAUCGAAAGAAACGUCACAAAGUGCUGGCUCCUCUAUUUUCCCCUGGAAUAAUAUUCUUCUCGUUUAUGAACCCAAAAUAUGGUUUUAAAUUUGAUUUUUUCUUACUUUUUUUGCACUUCUUAAAUGUGGAAAAUAAACAGAUUCUUAGUAUUUUUCACACAGUUCCCAAGAAUGAAUGUGUGUAUGUUUGUGUGUGCGUCCAUGUAUAUUAGUCACCACUGAGGGCUGGGGAUUAGGUAAUAAUGAUCACAGAGAUGUUGUGAAACUCAGAGCAGUACUUAUGUUAAGCUGAGGGCCAAUCUAUCACUCUGGCAUUUAAAUGUAUGUUUAUGUUCAUAUAAUGUUCCCCUCUUGUUCACUGGAGUCCAAACGGGACACCUGCAUCAAUGUAGGUCAUACUUGUUUUUCGCAUGUUCUCUUUUAAUACAUUUGUGCACUGUACUACUUAGAAUAAUACUUUUGUAAUAUGUGUGUGUGGGUGUGCGUGUGUGUGUGCGUGGGUAGGUGGGGGUGUAGGGGUGGGCUCGUUGACUUAAGUAACAUUCACAGGGAGACUUGGUCACACCUAGAGAUCUAACCAGCUCAGCCUCGCCUCUGUGAUUUAUAAGCAUGACUGUCUAAUUUUGUUCCAGUGAGGAACAGGACCAAAGGGAAUGUUCUCUCAUCCUCUCUUUCAUCAGUCUUGGAUAAAAUCUUCUAUUAAUCUCUAUAAACGGUUUCAAAAUGCUUCUUACUAAUGAAAUGUCUUAUCUCACUGUUUUUGUGCAUGUGUUGAAUAGCUUACCAAGUACAAUAAAAUUCUACUGAAGAGUAAA